AAUCAACGCUGGCGGCGUGCCUAACACAUGCAAGUCGAACGCGAAAGUGGAGCAAUCCAUGAGUAGAGUGGCAAACGGGUGAGUAACACGUGGGUGACCUGCCUUCGAGUGGGGGAUAACGUCCCGAAAGGGACGCUAAUACCGCAUAACAUCCUGCCUUUGAACAGGCGGAAAUCAAAGCUGGGGAUCGCAAGACCUAGCGCUUGAAGAGGGGCCCGCGUCCGAUUAGCUAGUUGGUGAGGUAACGGCUCACCAAGGCAACGAUCGGUAGCCGGCCUGAGAGGGCGGACGGCCACACUGGGACUGAGACACGGCCCAGACUCCUACGGGAGGCAGCAGUGGGGAAUUGUUCGCAAUGGGCGCAAGCCUGACGACGCAACGCCGCGUGGAGGAUGAAGACC
rnacentral:rRNA from 1 species